AGCCGCCCCGUGACUACACACAGGAUAAGCAGGUAGAAAGAAUGCAUUGAUAAAUAAGGAAACACUGAAAUAAGGCCCGUGCUACCCUUUAUUUUCUGUAUUAGUCAUCACUAGUUACACUGUAUGCAUCAUGCAGUCCAUGCAGACAGGCUGCCACGAAAGCAGAGGGGCUAUCUGGCGGACAUGUGUGGGCGUUGGUACUGACGUACAGCAGAGAGGAAUAAAAGGAUAUGUGUCUCCCUCUACAAAAUCCCAGCGCUUUUGAACGAAGCCAGCUUCACGUCAACAAUUACUCAAGCUUCAAGUCUUUGUUCAGAUCAUUCUCCCGAGAAACUCCUCACCUCAACCUUUGAGGAUUCAUCCAUUUCCUCCACCCUCAUAGGAAUCCCUCAGCAGAGCCACAUCAACACAGAGACUGCAUUUGUCCCGUUUAUUCAAGAGCUUUUAAUGCAUAUUUUUUACCCAUUUCCCUCUGUCUGCAUUUCGAUUUGGGUGCAGUAAAACUGUUUCAUAAUGUGCAAUAAUAUAACCAUGGCUGGGCUUAGCAUCCUGUGGGACCUGAGUGAGAUCUUUCAUUGCCC